rnacentral:ncRNA from 1 species
UCCCGUCUGAUAUACGCGGUUCUAGGCCUUCACUGCACUCUGCCAGUCUCUGAAACAGGAUUUCGAUUGCAAGAUUAUCUAUUCGUCUGGAGUAUCUCGCCUUCGUCAAUCUGGAAAAGAUCGCUCCUUCAUAGAGGUGGGUAAUGACAUCGCGAGCAUGCCACGGGAGCCGUUGAGCCUUUCAGACGACGUAAACCAGCUUGUGAGAGACAGCCCCAAAGGAGUUCACCAAGGCGUAGUACGUCAUGUCCAGUGGCCUUUUGCCCCUGUGAGUUGAGUUGAGAAUGCUUUUGGGGGGGAGAGAGAUGCUCGUAGCAUCCAUUUUCCGGCAUGAAACCCUUCUGCGACUUGGAGGCGACUCCAGUCUUAAUCGCCCAAUUGGUGAUCUUGCUUGCCCACAGUGCUGCGUAUAGUUUGUAAAUGCAAUCCUGUGAAUGGAUGUGCCGCAAAUCCUUCACAUCAUUUGGGUCUCUUCCCUUGGGAAUUAAUACUGGUGGUCUCUCUCUCCACCCGCCCGGCACCCUUCGAUGCUGGCAUCACGCGUUGUAUAUAACAGUCAUGGGUAGAACCAGCUCUCCUAGCACCUCUAGUAGCUAAAUGCCUCGUCAUCUAAUUAGUGACGCGCAUGAAUGGAUGAACGAGUUUCUCACUGUCCCCUUCUACUCUCUCGCAACCUACAGUCACGGGGAACGGGCUCAGUGGAAUCAGCUUGGAAAGAAGGUCCUGUUCGGGUUGGCUCUAGUCCGACUUUUUAAAACGGCUUGGGGGGUGUAGCAUAGGCGGUAGCUUCGGCGAUCGCAAAGGACCACUACCCUCAGUGUGCUCUCAGUUAUUCCGUCGAGACACAUGCAUGGCAUGUGUUUUUGCGUUGCCGCGCCUCUCAGGGUGCUGAUCAAUGCAGCAGACACAGCCAAGGGUGGCAAUAACGCAGCAGCCAACCAGUACCUUGCAUGGGGACACUUGAAGGCUCUGGUGAAGGGGUUUAAGUGUGCCAUAGAGGGACAGAGAGAAGAUUUGGCACCAUGGAGGUUACCACCCGUGUGACGU